UGGGGAAUAUUGGACAAUGGGGGGAACCCUGAUCCAGCCAUGCCGCGUGUGUGAAGAAGGCCUUAUGGUUGUAAAGCACUUUAAGCGAGGAGGAGGGUACUGGUAUUAAUACUACCAGGUACUGGACGUUACUCGCAGAAUAAGCACCGGCUAACUCUGUGCCAGCAGCCGCGGUAGUACAGAGGGUGCGAGCGUUAUUCGGAUUUACUGGGCGUAAAGCGUGCGUAGGCGGCUAAUUGAGUCGGAUGUGAAAUCCCCGAGCUUAACUUGGGAAUUGCAUUCGAUACUGGUUAGCUAGAGUGUGGGAGAGGAUGGUAGAAUUCCAGGUGUAGCGGUGAAAUGCGUAGAGAUCUGGAGGAAUACCGAUGGCGAAGGCAGCCAUCUGGCCUAACACUGACGCUGAGGUACGAAAGCAUGGGGAGCAAACAGG
rnacentral:rRNA from 1 species